AUGAACGCUGGCGGCGUGCCUAAUCCAUGCAAGUAGAACGCUGAAGCUUGGUGCUUGCACCGAGCGGAUGAGUUGCGAACGGGUGAGUAACGCGUAGGUAACCUGCCUCUUAGCGGGGGAUAACUAUUGGAAACGAUAGCUAAUACCGCAUAAAAGUCGAUAUCGCAUGAUAUUGAUUUGAAAGGUGCAAAUGCAUCACUAAGAGAUGGACCUGCGUUGUAUUAGCUAGUUGGUGAGGUAACGGCUCACCAAGGCGACGAUACAUAGCCGACCUGAGAGGGUGAUCGGCCACACUGGGACUGAGACACGGCCCAGACUCCUACGGGAGGCAGCAGUAGGGAAUCUUCGGCAAUGGGGGCAACCCUGACCGAGCAACGCCGCGUGAGUGAAGAAGGUUUUCGGAUCGUAAAGCUCUGUUGUAAGAGAAGAACGAGUGUGAGAGUGGAAAGUUCACACUGUGACGGUAACUUACCAGAAAGGGACGGCUAACUACGUG
rnacentral:rRNA from 1 species